UUACGAUAUGUUCCUUUUCUCUGAUUUCAGAUCACGCUAAUAUCGAUCCGAUUCUUUGUUUUAAUGAACAAGAUUCUAUUAUCUUCUAUUUGAUUGCCGAGAAAUUGAGAAAAAUUAUCCAAAAUUAAAGUUUUUUCAUUUAAUUUUGUUUAAAUUGAGAAUCCCCUUUUGGAGAUAUAUCCUCAAUUGGCUCUGUAUCCAAAUAAUUGGUUUAGUUAGGAGCUAAAGAUUGAAUUUUUGUGGCUCAAAGAAUGGCAUUUUUGUUUCUGAUUGUUGUCUGUUUUGGACUUAACUCAAGCUAACGCGGAAAUCAGAGAGAUAGAGAUCGUGAAAGGGCACAAGCCAGGGCAGGUAGCAAACCCAAACAGCCCAAAGGUGAUGGAUUAACCCCUGAACAAAGACGAGAAAGAGACGCGAAGGCACUUCAAGAAAAAGCAGCAAGGAAAGCGGCACAGGCUGCUGGUGGUGGAAAUAACCAAUCUGAUAGUAAACUAAUUAAGAAGAAAUAGUAGAAUUUAGCAAGGAAAGUUGUGUUGUUGAUACAGUAGUAGGUAUAAGGGAAUCUUGUGGAUGAAUCAGGCGUGGGUUCUGGAUAUUGGAGGUCAUUGUUGUUCAUUUCACUGCAAAGUGUUUGAAAUAUUUGCUUCCAUUUGUUCAUGUCAUUUGUUAAGUGUUUGAAAUAUUCUACUUUAUGUUUGGCAUGUAUGGUCCUUAGCACACGACUUUUAUUUGUAUCAACUUGAUUCCUGGAUAUUUUCAACACAAUGUUGUUAUGGUCAA